UCAGUCGACUCCUACGGGGAGGCAGCAGUGGGGAAUAGUUGCACAAUGGGGGGAAAACCCUGAUGCAGCCAUGCCGCGUGUGUGAAGAAGGACCUUCGGGUUGUAAAGCACUUUCAGUAGGGAGGAAGGUAGUGUAGUUAACACCUGCAUUAUUUGACGUUACCUACAGAAGAAGCACCGGCUAACUCCGUGCCAGCAGCCGCGGUAAUACGGAGGGGUGCGAGCGUUAAUCGGAAUUACUGGGCGUAAAGCGCAUGCAGGCGGCCUGUUAAGUCAGAUGUGAAAGACCCGGGGCGUUAAACCUCGGAAUUGCAUUUGAAACUGGCAGGCUAGAGUCUUGUAGAGGGGGGUAGGAAUUUCAGGUGUAGCGGUGAAAUGCGUAGAGAUCUGAAGGAAUACCAGUGGCGAAGGCGGCCCCCUGGACAAAGACUGACGCUCAGAUGCGAAAGCGUGGGGAGCAAACAGGAUUAGAUACCCUGGUAG
rnacentral:rRNA from 1 species